CACAGCGCGUACUCAAUCCAGAGGUUAUGUGAUGUGCAGUAAGGUCGUAGUCGGAUGCAUUAAUGUCGUGUCAAUAGCAAGAGUUGUUAUGUUGCGAACGGAUAGGAGUGUAGUAUAGACUGGCGAAGAAUGAAUCUCAAGACCCAGUUUGGACUAACGGAGGCGAAGGCGACACUCUUAGACGUAUCUUAGGAUCAAGGACGAAGGCAGGAGUAUCGAAAGUGAUUAGACACCGCUGUAGUUCCUGCAGUAAACUAUGCCGACAGCCUGUGUGUGAGAAUACGUGGGCGGGAGAAAUCUUAGUGUUCGGGCUCUGGGGAUAGUACGCUCGCAAGGGUGAAACUUAAAGCGAAAUUGACGGAAGGACACUACCAGGAGUGGAUUGUGCUGCUUAAUUUAACUCAACGCGGGAAAACUUACCAGGGUCAAGUCAUUCGUUGAUCGAAUACGUGAGAAUGGCAGGAGUGGUGCAUGGCCGUUGGAAAUUGAUGGGGCGACCUUUAGCUUAAAUGCUUAAACCAGUGAGACCUCCUUGACAGGUGUUCUGUAACACAGGAGGGUGGAGGCUAUAACAGGUCCGUGAUGCCCUUAGAUAUCCUGGGCAGCAAGCGCAAUACAAUAUCUCUUCAGUAGACAAAGUGAUUUGAGAUGAGUAGGAUCUACGUUUGUAAAUACGUAGUGAAUAAGGAAUUCCUAGUAACGGUGCCUCAUCAAGGCAUGGUGAAUGUGUCCCUGUUCUUUGUACACACCGCCCGUCACUAUUUCAGAUGGUCAUAGGGAUGAAGAGCUUCGGCUCUGAAUAUCUAUGGCUAGAUAAAGUACAAGUCGUAACAAGGUUUCAGUUGAGAACCAGCUGAAGGU
rnacentral:rRNA from 1 species